UCCCUGGAGGACUAGUGAUUAGUCCACAGCGCUCUCACUGCCAUGGCCCGGGUUCGAUUCCCAGCCAUGGAA